UAGCGACCGUCACCCGGAUUACUUUUAUUUCUGCAUUUAGUAAUUUAAUAAUUAAAUCGUUUAGUUAGAUGAUCACUAUGAAUGUUUGGUUAUUUGUGAAUUGGUUUGAGUUGAUUUACUAUGAUGCUUGCAAUUGGAGUUUAUGGAUUUGUGGUUUUGGUUUUAUGGAUAAUUGGUCCUCGGACUUAUGUAUUUACGCAUUGUGGUUUUUUACCCCUCGAGGUAGUCGAUUUUCAAAAGUGAAGUUUUCGUGUGGGAAACAGUUUUAAAAAGAUUUUCGAAUGGUUUUUAUAGAUGACUAAUUAGAGUUUAAAAAUCAAAGUUUCCGGGUGGGGGGCACUUUUAAAUAGGAUGCUUGUUGUACUG
rnacentral:lncRNA from 1 species